ensembl:lncRNA
AGGAAGUUUGAUGGCAGGGUUGCUGGAAUUACUGCCAUGAGCGAGGGCACUGAAAAAAUGAUUGUCCUAGACACCAGGUAUUGUGAAGAGCUUUGUCUGGUUGUAGAGUUGGUUGGUAUGGCGAUGAGUUGGUUGGUAUGGAGAUGAGUUGGUUGGUUUGGAGAUAAGUUGGUUGGUUUGGAGAUGAGUUGGUUGGUAUGGAGAUGAGUUGGUUGGUAUGGAGAUGAUUUCGGUAUGGAGAUGAUUUGGUCGUCCUUAGUCCUUAGUCCGUAGUUCUUAGUUCGUAGUCCGUAGGUUCUUGGUUCGUAGUCCGUAGUCCGUAGGUUCUUAGUUCUUAGUUCUUAGUCCGUAGUCCGUAGUCCGUAGGUUCUUAGUUCUUAGUUCUUAGUUCGUAGUCCGUAGUAAGUGAUUAUGUGCAUACCUUCACUAAUUUCUCUCCUCUCUUGUCUCUAUGCCCCUGUCCCUCUUGGAUUACUUUUCCAGGGCCCGGAAUUGCUGUGGGUCAGGAGGUUGGGUGACUGAUUGUGCGUGAGGAGUGGUGAGAGUAUGUGUAUGGGGGGGGGGUUCUAGUUGAUCCGGUAGGAGUGUUGAUGUAACUGGUGUUGGUUGAGGGGAUUGGUAGGGCUUAUGUGUUUUGGGGUUUGUUAUUUUUGAUACCAUAAGUGCAGAAUCCCACUUGGGUGGGCUUCUGUCUUAAGGGGGGGGAUGUGACGACCCUGGUGAGUCUUUGACUCCACCCUUUGCUUUGACUCCACCCUGGCUGUUUGGUUUGCCUGUUUUCCCUCUCUCUUAAUAGGUGAUGCAGUUCAGGUGUGCCGGGUUUGGCAGCAGGUUAAAAGCCUGCAGUUGCAGCAGUCAAGGGCGCUCCCUCCUCCCGGCGUGUUGGUUUUCGUUGUCCUUUGUUUGGUUACACAUAGACUGACUUUGCAUGACACUUUUGGGUUACUUACAUUUAACUGAUUUACACCACGCUUCUUUAUCUUUAAUUAAUUUCAUUCUCUGUAAAAUUAUCUUACUUUAAUAAAUUCUUUAUUAUUGCAAAACGGCGUGGUCUCCCCCAUUUCAUGUUCAUGCUAGAGCCA